GAUGACUUUAAUGUCCAUGGGGUUCAUUUCCUGACUCUGUAUGACUCGGUGGAAGAUUUCCUUGACAAAGCAAUGGGUGUCAUGAGAAGGUCGUGUCCCGAAUUGUUUGACAUGGAUCUUGAUGAUCUUGACUCCGAGUUGGAGGUACUUGAAGAGGACGAAGAGGAUGAAGAGGACCACGACAAGUUAUCUGAAGAUGACUGAGAUGAUGGAGGUGUGAUUUAGAAGUGUGUGCUGUUGUUAUGCAGGCUGUUGCGUGUCAGCCAGUCAUCCCCAUCCACCACAUAGGCUUCUUCGCUUCCACUUUUGUUGCUUUUGCUGUUUUGCUGCUAGUCCAGUGGUUUGGCGUUCUGGCAAAAGCAUUGUUAAUGUUAUACAUAUAAUAUGUGAUGUUGAACAUGUAGCGAUGUUCUGAUACUGAUAUGUUCAGACGAUCAAUUAGAUUGAGAGAGACAAAUGUCAGUAACUGGAACUGUGAUCUUU